rnacentral:rRNA from 1 species
CAGUAGCCACGGUAAUACGUAGGUGGCAAGCGUUGUCCGGAAUUAUUGGGCGUAAAGGGCUCGCAGGCGGUUUCUUAAGUCUGAUGUGAAAGCCCCCGGCUCAACCGGGGAGGGUCAUUGGAAACUGGGAAACUUGAGUGCAGAAGAGGAGAGUGGAAUUCCACGUGUAGCGGUGAAAUGCGUAGAGAUGUGGAGGAACACCAGUGGCGAAGGCGACUCUCUGGUCUGUAACUGACGCUGAGACGCGAAAGCCAGGGGAGCGAACGGGAUUAGAUACCCCCGUAGUCCCUGUCUCUUAUAC